AGAGAUAGCAUGUUGAGUUCGCCAGUACCUAAUGGUUCACUGACGUUAAGCAACGUUGCGCUUGGUUAGUAUUCGGAUGGGUGACCAUCUGGGUAUUUUUAUUAUUAUUAUUA
rnacentral:rRNA from 1 species